AACGAACGCUGGCGGCAUGCCUAACACAUGCAAGUCGAACGAGACCUUCGGGUCUAGUGGCGCACGGGUGCGUAACGCGUGGGAACCUGCCCUUAGGUUCGGAAUAACUCCCCGAAAGGGGUGCUAAUACCGGAUAAUGUCUUCGGACCAAAGAUUUAUCGCCUUUGGAUGGGCCCGCGUUGGAUUAGCUAGUUGGUAGGGUAAAAGCCUACCAAGGCGACGAUCCAUAGCUGGUCUGAGAGGAUGAUCAGCCACACUGGGACUGAGACACGGCCCAGACCCCCACGGGGGGGCGGAGGGGGGAAAUUUGGAAAAGGGGGCAAAGGCCUAACCCGCCAAUCCGGGGGGGGUGAGAAGGCCUGUGGGGUUUAAACCCUUUUUCCCCCGGGAUAAAAAUGACAGCCCGGGGAAAAAAACCCCGGCUUACCCCG
rnacentral:rRNA from 1 species